rnacentral:rRNA from 1 species
CCUACGGGAGGCAGCAGUGAGGAAUAUUGGUCAAUGGACGAGAGUCUGAACCAGCCAAGUAGCGUGAAGGAUGACUGCCCUAUGGGUUGUAAACUUCUUUUAUAUGGGAAUAAAACGUUCCACGUGUGGGAUUUUGUAUGUACCAUAUGAAUAAGGAUCGGCUAACUCCGUGCCAGCAGCCGCGGUAAUACGGAGGAUCCGAGCGUUAUCCGGAUUUAUUGGGUUUAAAGGGAGCGUAGGUGGAUUGUUAAGUCAGUUGUGAAAGUUUGCGGCUCAACCGUAAAAUUGCAGUUGAAACUGGCAGUCUUGAGUACAGUAGAGGUGGGCGGAAGUCGUGGUGUAGCGGUGAAAUGCUUAGAUAUCACGAAGAACUCCGAUGGCGAAGGCAGUUCACUGGACUGCAACUGACACUGAGGCUCGAAAGUGUGGGUAUCAAACAGGAUUAGAUACCCUUGUAGUC